rnacentral:rRNA from 1 species
UACAGAGGGGGCGAGCGUUGUUCGGAAUUACUGGGCGUAAAGGGCGCGUAGGCGGCCUUCUAAGUCGAACGUGAAAUCCCCGGGCUCAACCCGGGAACUGCGUCCGAUACUGGGAGGCUUGAAUCCGGGAGAGGGAUGUGGAAUUCCAGGUGUAGCGGUGAAAUGCGUAGAUAUUCGGAAGAACACCAGUGGCGAAGGCGACUUACUGGACACAUAUUGACGCUGAGGUGCGAAAGCGUGGGGAGCAAACAGG